GGCGAUCAGAUACCGCCCUAGUUCUAACCGUAAACGAUGACAACCAGCGAUUCGUCGGCGUUAAUCAUAUGACCCGACUAGCAGCUUCCGGGAAACCAAAGUUUUUCGUUUCCGGGGGAAGUAUGGUUGCAAAGCUGAAACUUAAAGGAAUUGACGGAAGGGCACCACCAGGAGUGGAGCCUGCGGCUUAAUUUGACUCAACACGGGAAAACUCACCCGGCCCGGACACCGUAAGGAUUGACAGACUGAGAGCUCUUUCUUAAUUCGGUGGGUGGUGGUGCAUGGCCGUUCUUAGUUGGUGGAGCGAUUUGUCUGGUUAAUUCCGAUAACGAACGAGACUCUGGCCUAUUAAAUAGACGGAAUAUCGCUUAAGUAUUCCGCGCUUCUUAGAGGGACAAGCGGCGUCUAGCCGCAUGAAAUAGAGCAAUAACAGGUCUGUGAUGCCCUUAGAUGUCCGGGGCUGCACGCGCGCUACACUGAAAGAAUCAGUGUGCUCAUUCGCCUAGUUCGGAAGAACCGGGUAACCCAAGUAAAUUCUUUCGUGCUUGGGAUAGGGAAUUGCAAUUAUUUCCCUUAAACGAGGAAUUCCCAGUAAGUGCGGGUCAUAAGCUCGCGUUGAUUACGUCCCUGCCCUUUGUA
rnacentral:rRNA from 1 species